AUGGGGGCCGGCGGUUGGGGUGGGGGUGUGGCUGCAGGUUGGGGCUCCCGCUCCGCCGGCUGCGCGGGUUCGCAGUGCGCUGAGGAGGAAGCGCUGGCGAGGAAGCGCUGGCGACCCCGAGAGGGAGGGAGCAGGACGAUCCCAGCUCAGAGCACCUGCCUGGACACCGUGGGUUUUUGGGGUGGGGGAGCCCCGGCGACUUUGAGCAUGGACCCCGUCGCGGGAACCUUUCUCAGGAUGCUCUUUCUUUUGUCUGCCCAACCCUGGAGUACAUUAGCAGCAGGGAAUACUUAUAACUGUGAUGCUCCUCUGGCGUCCUCCUUGCCCCGGGCUUCCUUCACCAGUUCCUCAGAGCUGUCUAGUAGCCAUGGCCCUGGCUUUGCAAGUCUUAAUCGCAGGGAUGGAGCUGGUGGCUGGUCUCCUCUUGUGUCAAAUAAAUACCAGUGGCUGCAGAUUGACCUUGGAGAGAGAAUGGAGGUCACAGCUGUGGCAACCCAGGGAGGAUAUGGGAGCUCCGACUGGGUGACCAGCUACCUCCUGAUGUUCAGUGAUGGCGGGAGGAACUGGAAGCAAUAUCGACGAGAGGAAAGCAUCUGGGGUUUUCCAGGAAACACAAAUGCAGACAGUGUGGUGCACUACAGACUCCAGCCUACCUUCGAAGCCAGAUUCCUGCGCUUCCUCCCCUUAACCUGGAACCCCAAAGGCAGGAUUGGGAUGCGGAUUGAAGUGUAUGGGUGUGCCUACAGAUCCGAGAUGGUUCAUUUUGAUGGGAAGAGUUAUUUGCUGUACACAUUUAAUCAUAAAUCCGUGAAUCCAAUCAAGGAAGUUAUUUCUCUGAAAUUUAAAACCAGAGAGAACAAUGGGAUUCUACUCCACAGAGAAGGGCCAAAUGACAAACACAUCACCCUGGAGUUAAUUAAAGGAAAACUCAUCUUAUUCCUUAAUUCAGGUCGUGCUAACUUGCCCUCACCUGAUGCUCUCAUGCUGGGCAGUUUGCUGGAUGAUGAACACUGGCAUUCUGUUCUCGUUGAGCUCCUCAAUACAGAUGUCAACUUCACUGUGGACACGCACACUCAUCAUUUUCGAGGAAAAGGAGAGUCCAACUAUGUGGAUCUCAAUUAUAAGAUCAGCUUUGGAGGGAUUCCUGGACAUGGAAAAUCAGUAGCAUUCCCACAUAAAAACUUUCAUGGCUGCUUUGAAAAUCUCUAUUAUAAUGGAGUGGAUAUCAUUGAUUUGUCCAAGAAACACAAGCCACAGGUCCUCAUCAUGGGAAAUGUGUCCUUCUCCUGCUCACACACGCAAACUGUCCCCAUGACUUUUCUGAGCUCCAGGAGUUACUUGGUGCUACCAGGCACUUCCAGAGAGGACAAAGUGUCUGUGAUCUUCCAAUUUCGAACAUGGAACAGAGCAGGACUGUUGCUGACCAGUCAGUUUCAGCAUAGGUCAGGAGCUCUCAUCCUUGUUCUUAGUGAUGGAAAACUCAAGCUGAGUCUCUCCCAGCCUGGACAUCCAGCCAGGGACAUCACAGCAGGCGCUGGACUAAAUGAUGGGCAGUGGCAUUCUGUGUCCUUAUCUGCAAGAGGGCAUCACCUGAGUAUGAUAGUGGAUGGUGAGGCAGCCUCCAUGGCUCAUUCCUUGCGUGGGCAGAUUGAGUCAGGCAACACCUACUAUUUGGGGGGCUGUCCUGACAACAACAGCUCUCACCCUGGAUGUACUAACUCCCUGGGUGGAUUUCAGGGCUGCCUGAGGCUAAUUUCCAUUGGCGACGAAGCAGUGGAUCCCAUCUCCGUACAGCAGGGGGCGCUAGGGAGUUUCCGUGACCUCCAGAUAGACACCUGUGGCCUCACAGAUAGGUGUUUGCCCAGCUAUUGUGAACAUGGUGGUGUAUGUUCCCAAUCCUGGAACACCUUCUCCUGCGACUGUACACACACUGGUUACACGGGCGCAACCUGCCAUUCCUCUCUCUACGAGCAGUCAUGUGAAGCCCACUGGCACAGAGGAAACUCUUCAGGGCUCUAUUAUAUUGACUCAGAUGGAAGUGGCCCCCUGGAACCAUCCCUGGUAUAUUGCAACAUGACAGACACUGCUUGGACCUCAGUGCAGCAUAACAGCUCCCACUUGGUCAAGGUCAAAAGCUUGAAUGGAGAAAGCCCCCAUCCAGUAUUUUUCAAGUACAUAGCCAGCAUGGACCAGCUCCAGACCAUCAUUGACUAUGCUGACAACUGCCAACAGGAGCUGACUUUUCACUGCAAGAAGUCAAGACUUUCAACUCCCCAAGAUGGAACCCCAGUGAGCUGGUGGGUUGGAAGAACCAAUGAAACACACACUUACUGGGGAGGUUCUCAGCCUGAUGCUCAAAAAUGUACUUGUGGAUUAGAGGGGAACUGCAUUGAUUCUCAAUAUUACUGCAACUGUGAUGCUGACCGGAAUGAAUGGACCAGCGACACAGUAGUUCUUUCCCAUAAGAAGCACCUGCCGGUUACUCAGGUUGUGAUGAGAGAUACAGGGCAACCACAUUCUGAAGCGGCUUAUUCACUGGGUCCUCUGCUCUGCUCCGGGGACAAUUCAUUUUGGAAUUCAGCUUCCUUCAAUACUGAGACCUCAUACCUUCAUUUCCCCACGUUCCGAGGAGAGCUUAGUGCUGAUGUGUCUUUCUUUUUUAAGACCACAGCCUCUUCAGGGGUGUUUUUAGAGAACCUGGGAAUCACAGACUUCAUCAGGCUAGAGCUUCGAGCCCCAACAGAAGUAACCUUUUCCUUUGAUGUGGGGAAUGGGCCCUGUGAGGUCACGGUGCAGUCUCCCACUGCCUUUAAUGACGAUCGGUGGCACCACGUGAAGGCAGACCGGAACGUUAAAGAAGCGUCCCUUCAAGUGGGUCAGCACCCUCGCAAGACCCAACCUGCCCCAGCUGACGGGCACGCCCGCCUGCAGCUCAACAGCCAGCUUUUCGUGGGAAGUUUGCAGAUCGGGUAUAAGCUAGACAGACACCGAGAACCUGAUGUUUUUAACUUUGGUUUUAAAAACCUGGCUGAUGGGCAGCUUCACCAUGUGAGGAUUAACAGAGAAGCAGCAGUGAUGUUUGUAGAGGUUAACCAGAAUGCAAGGAGACAAGUCAUCCUGUCUUCAGGGACAGAAUUCAAUGCUGUCAAGUCCCUUAUGUUGGGGACGAUUUUAGAGCCCCUCGGCGCGGACCCGGACACGCUGCGGGCCGGCGCGCGCGGCUUCACCGGCUGCCUUUCUGCGGUACGCUUCGGGCCUGCAGUCCCUCUGAAGGCGGCGCUGCGCUCUGGCGGCCACUCCCAGGUCACCGUCCGCGGACACGUGGCCACCGCGUCCCGCUGCGCGGAUGGGACGGGGCCCGGAGCCCCAGCGCGGGAGGCGACCCGCCCUCUCUCAGGAGGAGCAGGUGUGAUAGCGGUUGUGGUAUUUAUUUUGCUCUGCAUCACUGCCAUUGCUAUACGCAUUUAUCAACAGAGAUGGCUGUACCAAAAAAAUGAAACAAAUAUUCCAAAAACUGGAGACAAUGCUGAAACUGCUCUGAAAAGUGAGCUCAACAUGCAAUGUACAGUCAAUGAAAGCCAGAAAGAGUAUUUCUUCUGA
rnacentral:lncRNA from 1 species